rnacentral:rRNA from 1 species
UACGUAGGUGGCGAGCGUUGUCCGGAUUUACUGGGUGUAAAGGGCGCGUAGGCGGGCUGUCAAGUCAGAUGUGAAAUGCCGGGGCUUAACUCCGGAGCUGCAUUUGAAACUGACAAUCUUGAGUAUCGGAGAGGAAAGCGGAAUUCCUAGUGUAGCGGUGAAAUGCGUAGAUAUUAGGAGGAACACCGGUGGCGAAGGCGGCUUUCUGGACGACAACUGACGCUGAGGCGCGAAAGUGUGGGGAG